UACGAAGGGGGCUAGCGUUGCUCGGAAUCACUGGGCGUAAAGGGUGCGUAGGCGGGUCUUUAAGUCAGGGGUGAAAUCCUGGAGCUCAACUCCAGAACUGCCUUUGAUACUGGCGACCUUGAGUCCGGGAGAGGUGAGUGGAACUGCGAGUGUAGAGGUGAAAUUCGUAGAUAUUCGCAAGAACACCAGUGGCGAAGGCGGCUCACUGGCCCGAUACUGACGCUGAGAAGCGAAAGCAUGGGGAGCGAACAGG
rnacentral:rRNA from 1 species